rnacentral:misc_RNA from 1 species
GCGGCAUCCAGGCGCGACCCCCACCCCCCACCACCCCACCCCCCACACACACACACACCCACCCACACACACCCCCCCCUCCACACACAAACACCACCCCGCAUCUCUGCUCAACGGCGGCUUCGCUGCCAAGCACACCGACACGUGCAAGGCCUGGGCAAUAAGAGAAGAUUACGCACAAAGAGCCAAGCCCAAUCGAGUGGAGCGAGAGGGCCGCGGCUGCAGCGCAGGAGAUCAAGGUACACAGCACACAGCGGCGCAUUCAAAAAGGGGAGGAAGGGGUAGCACAAGCAGACGUCAAGGUUACUCUUCCGUUCGCGCGUGUCUCUGUGCGCAUGAAGAGAGCGGCAGACAAGUUAGGGUACCUGCGACGUAGACACGGCACAGGCAGCCAACGGCAGAGGAUCGUCACAAGGGCAGCGGGCACUCCUUGUGAGAACCCAAGUGGCGCUUCCACUUGCACGAUAGCAGAAGUUCUCCUCCCCAUAUAGACAUACACACCGACGUGUCUGGUCGCCAUAUGCCUCGCGAGAUCAUCACCAUUCAAGCCGGCCAGUGCGGCAACCAGGUAGGCAGCGAGUUCUGGCGGCAGCUCUGCCUCGAGCACGGCAUCCGACUCGACGGCGUCGUGGAGCCGUACGCCGUCGGCGGUGAGGAUCGCAAAGAUGUUUUUUUCUAUCAAGCCGACGACGACCACUACGUGCCGCGUGCGUUGCUCGUGGACCUUGAGCCGCGCGUGAUCAACGCGGUGCAGCGCGGCUCGAUGCAGAAGCUCUUCAACAGCGAGAACAUCUUCAUUCACAAGGAAGGCGGUGGCGCCGGCAACAACUGGUCUCACGGCUACGAGCUGGGCGACCAGGUGCAGGAGACGCUCUUCGACAUGAUCGAGCGAGAGGCCGAGAACAGCGACAGCCUCGAGGGAUUCGUUCUUACUCACUCCAUUGCAGGCGGUACGGGAAGCGGCAUGGGCAGCUACCUGCUGGAGAACUUGAACGAUAAGUUCCCAAAGAAGCUCAUCCAGACGUACAGCGUCUUCCCGAACCAGUCGCGUGGCGGCGAGAGCGACGUCAUUGUCCAGCCGUACAACAGCCUACUAGCCGUGAAGCGGCUCACGCUGCACGCCGACUGCGUUGUCGUCCUCGACAACACCGCACUGAACCGUAUCGUCACCGACAACCUCCACAUCGCCUCCCCCACGGUGGAACAGAUGAACGGGCUCGUCAGCACCGUCAUGGCCGCCUCGACGGCGACGCUGCGCUACCCGGGCUACAUGAACAACGACUUGAUGAGCAUGCUCGCCUCGCUCAUCCCGACGCCGCGGUGCCACUUUGUGUGCACCGGAUACACCCCGACCACCCUCGACACCUCGAACAUUCAGUCCUCGGUGCGCAAGACGUCCGUGCACGACGUGAUGCGUCGACUGCUGAUGCCGAAGAACAUGAUGGUGUCGACAUCCAUGAAGAGCGGCUGCUACAUCUCUCUCCUAAACCUCAUCCAGGGUGACGUCGACCCGGCACAGGUGCACCGCUCCCUCGAGCGGAUUCGCGAGCGGUCACCGACGUUCAUUCCGUGGGGGCCGGCCUCAAUCCAGGUCAUCCUGUCAAAGAAGUCGCCGUACGUGGACACGCGGCACCGGGUGAGCGGCCUCGUAAUGGCGAACCACACGAGCAUCCACACCCUCUUUCACCGCACACUGAAGCAGUUUGACAUGCUGUUCGGCCGCGGCGUCUUCCUCGAUCAGUACCGAAAGUAUGGGCCGACCAAGGACAACCUGGACGAGUUCAGCGACGCGAGGGACGUCGUGGAGAGUUUGGUGGCGGAGUACAAGGCGUGUGAGAGCUCCGACUACAUCCGCAACUUCUGAGUAGUGCAACAGCUGCGGCCCGGCGUUUUACCGUGUUCUCCUGUCGCCCAUCUCUCUCCAUCUCCCUCUCUCCGAAAGUCUGCGCCGUGGAUAGGACCGCACAGCGUCUCAUCGACUGGCCUCUCCCUUCCCUCACCACCUCCCAUGCGCAUAGACGCGGCCACGCACCUCCUCUCUCGCGCACGCGCGCAAGUCCUGCUGCGCUGUCAACACGCAUGCGUGUAUACCGUGGGUGAACGCGCGUGUGGCUGUCGGUCUUUUGAAAGGCUAUAGACAAAAUACGGCGAUGAUGACGGAUGUGCUUGUUGCACCCUCUCUCCAUGCCUCCGCCCUAUGUGUGUGUGUGUGUCUGUGUCUGUGCCUGUGUCUGUGUCUGUGUUGGACAAGAUUCAGGCAUGUCGGGGCAGUGUGCAGUGUUGUGCUCGUAUACGUGUGUGUGUGUCUCUAUAGCCAUAUGUGUGCAG